UACGGGGGGAGCAAACGUUGCUCGGAAUCACUGGGCGUAAAGCGCACGUAGGCGGCUUUUUAAGUCAGGGGUGAAAUCCUGGAGCUCAACUCCAGAACUGCCUUUGAUACUGGGAAGCUUGAGUCCGGGAGAGGUGAGUGGAACUCCGAGUGUAGAGGUGAAAUUCGUAGAUAUUCGGAAGAACACCAGUGGCGAAGGCGGCUCACUGGCCCGGUACUGACGCUGAGGUGCGAAAGCGUGGGGAGCAAACAGG
rnacentral:rRNA from 1 species